CUUCUCCUUUCCUCUUCAUCCAGUCUCCGUUACUGAGCUUCAUCUACCAUCAAUCAAUGGUGUUCUUCAGUACACUUCGUUUCACCUCCUUCUUUAUCUCCUUCCGUAUAAACCACUUUGUCUUAAGUUGAUCCGAUUCAAUCCCGAAAACCUCCUCUGCUGAAACUAUAGCAAAGAAACCAAACGGCAAGUUCAAUAUGUCCCACUAUCUUGCUUUUGUUUGUUAUUCAAUUAACCAAAAUAGUGCCAGUUUCAAUUAAACUGCCCUGUUGAUCCUAGAAGCCAUUUUUUGCCAUUGCUCUUGCGAUGGCUUCCAUUGAUUUUAUGCUUCAUCAAUUCUGAUUUGAUUUUCUCUCUUUUUUUUCACACCAGGGGUUGAUUUUGGGAGCACUUUUCUUGCAGCCUAGCUUCCUGGUAAGGGUUGAGGUAAUGUAAGUCUUCGCUCGGUUUGGUUUAACGAUGUGGGGGUGAGGCUCCUAUUUUUGUUGCAUAUCUAUUCUCCUCUUAGACCUUGUGAGGAAUAGUAAAUUUUUUUGUCAGAUUAAUUGAACUUAGAAUCAUAAUUCUAUUUUCUCUGGCCGUAAUGUUUAUUACUUAGUGAAUGCCUUGGUAAGUUAUUAUAACUUUAUGUAUUUGUUGUGACUAAACUGGUUGAUAAACUUUGGAAUUAUGGGAAACAGGUUGUCUAAAAGAUGCAUUAGGCAAUGAGAUACUGAAGCUUAAGGAUCAACUUGGUUCAAGACAGAAGGCUAUUUCUUUCUUUGAGCGUGACAAUUCAAGCAACUAUCUGAUACCCGCCUGCAUUGAGAUACCCACGGAUGGAACUGACGAGUGGGAAAUUGACGUGAAACAGUUCCAAAUUGAAAAGAAAGUGGCAUCUUGGUUCAUAUGGGGGGAUCUGCACAGAGGCACUUAUUGCAGUUUGGAGGUUGCUAUCAAAUUUCUCAAACCUGAGCGUAUAAGGUUGCUAUGAGAUUGUCAAGGUUGCUGAUUUUGGAGUUGUCAGAGUACAGAUUGAAUCAGGGGUGAUGACAGCUGAAACAGGGACACAUCGAUGGAUGGCUCCGGAGGUAUGAAGUCCAUAACUCUCUGUUUAAUCUCUCACUCACUCACUUUGACAAUUUACUUCUGAGAUCCAGGUGAUUGAACACAAACCUUACAGUCACAAAGCAGAUGUGUUCAGUUAUAGGAUUGUGAUAUGGGAACUUUUGACUGGUCAUGUAACAGUUCUGCUUACAAUUCUUUCUCUGAAUUGUUCUACAUGCUAAUUAAAGAUACUAUGACUAAAUUGUAAAUGGAAACAGAUCCCAUAUGCUUAUUUGACUCCACUACAAGCGGCUGUUGGCGUUGUUCAGAAGGUACUGUAUUUAGUUUAAGAACGUCACAUACAAGAUUUUUUUGGCUAAAUUGAAUUCUUCUUUUUUCUACAGGGUCUUAGACCAAAGAUUCCAAAGAAGACACAUCCAAAAGUGAAGGGACUUCUACAGAGAUGCUGGAACUAAGACCCAAAAGACAGACCAGAGUUUGAGGAAAUCAUAGAAAUGCUUCAACAGAUAAUGAUUGAGGUAAACGUCGUACCGUGAUGAUGAUCCGAGUAAAAAAAACCCUUUUAGAGGCGAGAUUUCUGAGAGCAGGAUGUGGUGGUGGUGAAAACAAGCAGGCUGGAGAUGAAGACCCUGCAGAUAAGGACAAGCACUGUUGGAGAUAGUGAAAUAUAUUAUUUAUAUAAAUAUAAUUAUAUAUUUUUAUUUACAUAAUAGUUUGAAAAAAAAUAUUUUGUGUAAGUAAUAUCAUAAUUUUAUAAAAUACUAAAAUCAAUUGGGUUAGUUUUUAACUUUCACAAAUAAAAAAUAUUAUUUUUUCAUUAGAGAUAGUCUAAGGUAUGGCCGACGUAAACGAUCGACGUUGAGAUUUCAACUUUUUUUAUUCUUAAUAUUCUAAUGUUUCAAUAUAAUUUGAAUAUUCCCUUUGUUUUAUAA